UAAGACAGAGGUGCCAAGCGUUAGGCGGAAUCACUGGGCUUAAAGCGUGUGUAGGCGGAAGCGUAAGUGCCUUGUGAAAUCCCGCGGCUUAACCGUGGAACUGCUGGGCAUACUGCGUUUCUUGAGCCAAUCAGGGGUCGUCGGAACAAACGGUGGAGCGGUGAAAUGCGUAGAUAUCGUUUGGAACGCCAAAGGCGAAAGCAGACGACUGGGAUUGCGCUGACGCUGAGACACGAAAGCCAGGGGAGCAAACGGGAUUAGAUACCCCGGUAGUCCUGGCCCUAAACGAUGUCCACUGGAUCGCGGUCCCUCUGAAGGGUUCGCGGUCGGAGCAAAAGUGUUAAGUGGACCGCCUGGGAAGUACGGUCGCAAGGCUA
rnacentral:rRNA from 1 species